rnacentral:rRNA from 1 species
ACGGGAGGCAGCAGUGAGGAAUAUUGGUCAAUGGACGGAAGUCUGAACCAGCCAAGUCGCGUGAAGGAUGAAGGUAUUAUGUAUUGUAAACUUCUUUAGCAGUGGAGUAAUAAGGGGAUCGCGAUCCCUGAUGCAAGUACACUGAGAAUAAGGAUCGGCUAACUCCGUGCCAGCAGCCGCGGUAAUACGGAGGAUCCGAGCGUUAUCCGGAUUUAUUGGGUUUAAAGGGUGCGCAGGCGGCAUGCUAAGUCAGCGGUUAAAUAGCGAGGCUCAACCUCGUCCCGCCGUUGAUACUGGCAAGCUUGAUUGCGGUCGAGGUUGGCGGAAUUCGCCGUGUAGCGGUGAAAUGCAUAGAUAUGGCGAAGAACUCCGAUUGCGUAGGCAGCUGACCAGGCCGUAAAUGACGCUCAUGCACGAAAGUGCGGGGAUCGAACAGGAUUAGAUACCCUGGUA